UUUGGGCCCACUCCAAUGAUCCAGGAUAAUCUCCACAUCUCAAGAUCCUUAAUUUAAUCACAUCUGCAAAGUCCUUCUUGCCAUGUAAGGUCACACACUCACAGGGUCUGAAGUUGAGGA